AAUUGACCGCUGGCGGCAGGCUAACAGCAUUCAAGUCGAACGGUAACAUGACUAGCUUGCUAGUUGAUGACGAGUGGCGAGUGAGUACGCGUAGGAAUCUACCCAGUAGCGGGGGAUAGCAGAGAAAUUGGUCUAAUACCGCAUACGCCCUAACGGGGAAAGCAGGGAUCUUCGGACCUUGCACUAUUGGAUGAGCCUGCGUGAGAUUAGCUUGUUGGUGAGGUAAUGGCUCACCAAGGCAACGAUCUCUAGCUGGUCUGAGAGGAUGAUCAGCCACACUGGAACUGAGACACGGUCCAGACUCCUACGGGAGGCAGCAGUGGGGAAUAUUUGCACAAUGGGCGCAAGCCUGAUGCAGCCAUGCCGCGUGUGUGAAGAAGCCCUAGGUUGUAAAGCACUUUCAGCAGUGAGGAAAGGUUGUACGUUAAUACCGUGCAGCUGUGCACGUUUACUGCAGAAGAAGCACCGGCUAACUCCGUGCCAGCAGCCGCGGUAAUACGGAGGGUGCGAGCGUUAAUCGGAAUUACUGGGCGUAAAAGCGCGCGUAGGUGGAUUUGGUCAGUCAGAUGUGAAAAGCCCAGGGCUCAACCUUGGAACUUGCACCUGAUAACUGCCAAUCUAAGAAUACGGUAGAGGGUAGUGG
rnacentral:rRNA from 1 species